GUCAUACGCUCGUCUCAAAGAUUAAGCCAUGCAUGUGUAAGUAUAAAUAGUUAACUUUGAAACUGCGAAUGGCUCAUUAUAUCAGUUAUAGUUUAUUUGAUGAAGAAUACUAAUUGGAUAACCGUAGUAAUUCUAGAGCUAAUACAUGUAUAAAGUCUUGUAGACUGCAUUUAUUAGAAUGAAAACCAUAGGUUUCGGCCUAUUCGUGAGUAAUAAUAACUAAUCAUAUCGUAUGCUUAUGUAACGAUGUGUCUUUCAAGUUUCUGCCCUAUCAGCUUUCGAUGGUAGUGUAUUGGACUACCAUGGCAGUAACGGGUAACGAA
rnacentral:rRNA from 1 species